rnacentral:rRNA from 1 species
UAAAAAGCUCGUAGUUGGAUUUCGGAGUGGGCCAGUUGGUCCGCCGCAAGGUGUGUUACUGACUGGUUUGCUCUUCUUCGCAAAGACUGCGUGUGCUCUUCAGUGAGUGUGCGUAGGAUCUACGACGUUUACUUUGAAAAAAUUAGAGUGUUCAAAGCAGGCUAUUGCUUGAAUACAUGAGCAUGGAAUAAUGGAAUAGGACUUUGGUCCCAUUUUGUUGGUUUCUAGGGCCGAAGUAAUGAUUAAGAGGGACAAUUGGGGGCAUCCGUAUUUCGUUGUCAGAGGUGAAAUUCUUGGAUUUACGAAAGACGAACAACUGCGAAAGCACUUGCCAAGAGUGU